GGGCCUGUAGCUCAGUUGGUUAGAGCAGGGGACUCAUAAUCCCUUGGUCGCAGGUUCGAGUCCUGCCGGGCCCA
rnacentral:tRNA from 1 species